GCCCGUCGCUCCUACCGAUUGAGUGAUCCGGUGAAUAAUUCGGACUGCAGCAGUGUUCGGUCACGAACGUUGCAGCGGAAAGUUUAGUGAACCUUAUCACUUAGAGGAAGGAGAAGUCGUAACAAGGUUUCCGUAGGUGAACCUGCGGAAGGAUCAUUC
rnacentral:rRNA from 1 species